rnacentral:rRNA from 1 species
AGCACCUACGGGUGUGAAGUCAUUGAUGCCAUGCUUCCAGGAAAAGCCUCUAAGCUUCAGAUUGUAAGGAAUCGUACCCCAAACCGACACAGGUGGUCGGGUAGAGAAUACCAAGGCGCUUGAGAGAACUCGGGUGAAGGAACUAGGCAAAAUGGUACCGUAACUUCGGGAGAAGGUACGCUCUUGAUGGUGAAGUCCCUUGCGGAUGGAGCUGACGAGAGUCGCAGAUACCAGGUGGCUGCAACUGUUUAUUAAAAACACAGCACUGUGCAAAAUCGUAAGAUGACGUAUACGGUGUGACGCCUGCCCGGUGCCGGAAGGUUAAUUGAUGGGGUUAGACUUCGGUCGAAGCUCUUGAUCGAAGCCCCGGUAAACGGCGGCCGUAACUAUAACGGUCCUAAGGUAGCGAAAUUCCUUGUCGGGUAAGUUCCGACCUGCACGAAUGGCGUAAUGAUGGCCACGCUGUCUCCACCCGAGACUCAGUGAAAUUGAAAUCGCUGUGAAGAUGCAGUGUACCCGCGGCUAGACGGAAAGACCCCGUGAACCUUUACUACAGCUUGGCACUGAACAUUGACCCUACAUGUGUAGGAUAGGUGGGAGGCUUUGAAGCACGUACGCCAGUAUGUGUGGAGCCGUCCUUGAAAUACCACCCUUGUAGUGUUGAUGUUCUAACGUCGACCCCUUAUCGGGGUUGCGGACAGUGCCUGGUGGGUAGUUUGACUGGGGCGGUCUCCUCCCAAAGAGUAACGGAGGAGCACGAAGGUGGGCUAAUCACGGUUGGACAUCGUGAGGUUAGUGCAAUGGCAUAAGCCCGCUUGACUGCGAGAAUGACAAUUCGAGCAGGUGCGAAAGCAGGUCAUAGUGAUCCGGUGGUUCUGAAUGGAAGGGCCAUCGCUCAACGGAUAAAAGGUACUCCGGGGAUAACAGGCUGAUACCGCCCAAGAGUUCAUAUCGACGGCGGUGUUUGGCACCUCGAUGUCGGCUCAUCACAUCCUGGGGCUGAAGUCGGUCCCAAGGGUAUGGCUGUUCGCCAUUUAAAGUGGUACGCGAGCUGGGUUUAGAACGUCGUGAGACAGUUCGGUCCCUAUCUGCCGUGGGCGUUGGAAGAUUGAAGGGGGCUGCUCCUAGUACGAGAGGACCGGAGUGGACGAACCUCUGGUGUUCGGGUUGUGUCGCCAGACGCAUUGCCCGGUAGCUAAGUUCGGAAUCGAUAACCGCUGAAAGCAUCUAAGCGGGAAGCGAGCCCUGAGAUGAGUCUUCCCUGAUACUUUAAGUAUCCUAAAGGGUUGUCGGAGACUACGACGUUGAUAGGUCAGGUGUGUAAGUGCUGUGAGGCAUUGAGCUAACUGAUACUAAUUGCCCGUGAGGCUUAACCAU